GAUGAACGCUGGCGGCGUGCCUAAUACAUGCAAGUCGAGCGAACGGACGAGAAGCUUGCUUCUCUGAUGUUAGCGGCGGACGGGUGAGUAACACGUGGAUAACCUACCUAUAAGACUGGGAUAACUUCGGGAAACCGGAGCUAAUACCGGAUAAUAUUUUGAACCGCAUGGUUCAAAAGUGAAAGACGGUCUUGCUGUCACUUAUAGAUGGAUCCGCGCUGCAUUAGCUAGUUGGUAAGGUAACGGCUUACCAAGGCAACGAUGCAUAGCCGACCUGAGAGGGUGAUCGGCCACACUGGAACUGAGACACGGUCCAGACUCCUACGGGAGGCAGCAGUAGGGAAUCUUCCGCAAUGGGCGAAAGCCUGACGGAGCAACGCCGCGUGAGUGAUGAAGGUCUUCGGAUCGUAAAACUCUGUUAUUAGGGAAGAACAUAUGUGUAAGUAACUGUGCACAUCUUGACGGUACCUAAUCAGAAAGCCACGGCUAACUACGUGCCAGCAGCCGCGGUAAUACGUAGGUGGCAAGCGUUAUCCGGAAUUAUUGGGCGUAAAGCGCGCGUAGGCGGUUUUUUAAGUCUGAUGUGAAAGCCCACGGCUCAACCGUGGAGGGUCAUUGGAAACUGGAAAACUUGAGUGCAGAAGAGGAGAGUGGAAUUCCAUGUGUAGCGGUGAAAUGCGCAGAGAUAUGGAGGAACACCAGUGGCGAAGGCGACUUUCUGGUCUGUAACUGACGCUGAUGUGCGAAAGCGUGGGGAUCAAACAGGAUUAGAUACCCUGGUAGUCCACGCCGUAAACGAUGAGUGCUAAGUGUUAGGGGGUUUCCGCCCCUUAGUGCUGCAGCUAACGCAUUAAGCACUCCGCCUGGGGAGUACGACCGCAAGGUUGAAACUCAAAGGAAUUGACGGGGACCCGCACAAGCGGUGGAGCAUGUGGUUUAAUUCGAAGCAACGCGAAGAACCUUACCAAAUCUUGACAUCCUUUGACAACUCUAGAGAUAGAGCCUUCCCCUUCGGGGGACAAAGUGACAGGUGGUGCAUGGUUGUCGUCAGCUCGUGUCGUGAGAUGUUGGGUUAAGUCCCGCAACGAGCGCAACCCUUAAGCUUAGUUGCCAUCAUUAAGUUGGGCACUCUAAGUUGACUGCCGGUGACAAACCGGAGGAAGGUGGGGAUGACGUCAAAUCAUCAUGCCCCUUAUGAUUUGGGCUACACACGUGCUACAAUGGACAAUACAAAGGGCAGCGAAACCGCGAGGUCAAGCAAAUCCCAUAAAGUUGUUCUCAGUUCGGAUUGUAGUCUGCAACUCGACUACAUGAAGCUGGAAUCGCUAGUAAUCGUAGAUCAGCAUGCUACGGUGAAUACGUUCCCGGGUCU
rnacentral:rRNA from 1 species